UGGCGCACAUAAGACAUGCAAGUCGAACGGAAGUCGUUAUAAUCGAAGCUGAAAUGAACAGAGAACUUGUUCGAAGGAAUUUGACGUAGACUUUAUAACAAUGGCUUUAGUGGCGGACUGGUGAGUAACGCGUGAGCAACCUGCCUAUUAGAGGGGAAUAACAGUGAGAAAUCAUUGCUAAUACCGCAUAUGCCAUAGGUACCACAUGGUACUAGUGGGAAAGGAGUAAUCCGCUAAUAGAUGGGCUCGCGUCUGAUUAGAUAGUUGGUGGGGUAACGGCCUACCAAGUCAACGAUCAGUAGCCGGACUGAGAGGUUGAACGGCCACAUUGGGACUGAGAUACGGCCCAGACUCCUACGGGAGGCAGCAGUCGGGAAUAUUGCGCAAUGGAGGAAACUCUGACGCAGUGACGCCGCGUAUAGGAUGAAGGUCUUCGGAUUGUAAACUAUUGUCGUUAGGGAAGAGAAAGGACAGUACCUAAGGAGGAAGCUCCGGCUAACUACGUGCCAGCAGCCGCGGUAAUACGUAGGGAGCAAGCGUUAUCCGGAUUUA
rnacentral:rRNA from 1 species